rnacentral:rRNA from 1 species
UACGUAGGGAGCAAGCGUUGUCCGGAAUCAUUGGGCGUAAAGGGCGCGUAGGUGGCGGGACAAGCGUGCGGUGAAAGCCUGGGGCUCAACCCCGGGUCGGCCGUGCGAACUGUUUUGCUUGAGCACUGUAGAGGCAGGCGGAAUUCCGGGUGUAGCGGUGGAAUGCGUAGAGAUCCGGAAGAACACCGGUGGCGAAGGCGGCCUGCUGGGCAGUAGCUGACACUGAGGCGCGACAGCGUGGGGAGCAAACAGG